GGCCGAGUAUCACACACUCUCAUUUAACAGAAUCACACCAGAACCAGGGGCCGUGUCCAGAACGACUAUUAUUAUUAUUAUUAUUGUUAUUAUUAUUAUUGUUAUUAUCAUGAACUGCAUUUUACACAAGAAAUUUAAAACUGUCGCAUGUUUGGAUUUAGCCAUUCACAAAUCAACGAGGUCGACGUACGCUGCAAAAAACCACGGCUACGUCCUCCCGUCGCGAUUUAGCGGAGCCGUUUUUUGAUUUUUACUCUUUUAAAAACGUGAAAAACAGUUUGUACUCGUCCAAAGUGACUCUCUACACAUUCAGAACAUCUUAAUUAUUCAAAAAGAUGAGUUUAUAAGUGUUUUUUUUACAACUUUCAGACCCCAGAGCGGAGUUUGGCUGUGACGGUUAAGCUAACAACUAGCAAGAUAACACGUACUUCCUGAUUUUCGCUUUUUGAUUGGAUUUUGACGUCAGGAGCUGCUUCUACCGUAGAUCUGCACUGGGCCGGACGUUUUUACGUAAAUAAAUGGGAAUAAAAUCCUGUCCAGCUCCGUUAUGAGCACGAGAAUAUAAAACGGGAGGGCAUCUGACACAUUUUCCACAUAUUAAAUCAACAUUUCAACAGCUCAAAUCCAGAUAAAUGUAGUUUUUUGCAGCGUCGGCUCCUCAUAAAUAUAUUUUUUCGUUGCUUUGUGGAGUUUGGCGGAGUUUACACGAGCUCCAUCGUUUUUCGGCUUUUCAAAAAAAACACACCGUCGCUAAUCUAAAGUGCACCUCAAAUCAACAGAAGUCAAAUUUUUAGGAUAAAGUCCACAGAUUUUUACAGUAUAUCGGUAAAAAAAAAUCACACAGAUGUCGUUUUCCGAUGGGACGCGAUGGACAUUUCGCCGAUGUCAUUCGCCCAAACAAAAAAAACGAUUUAUGUCAAAAAUAAAAUAAAAAAAAUUCAAAAAUCCACAAAUUUACCAGCUGUUGACCCGAAACGGAGUCAAAACAUUUUUAUCUAUUUUUUUAUUUAUUUAUUUACUCGGUAAGUUUGGAUUAUUUCACUUUUUUAGACACAUUACGGGUCAGAUCUGCGGAGAGGCACCCCCAUCGCAAUAAGAACACGUGUAUUUGAGGUACUCUGAGCAACAAAAACACCUGUAAUUUAACACAAAAAAAAAAAAAAAAGUUUAAUUCCAAACUGCGGGACAUGAUUCAGGUAAAGCAAUAGCAUCUCCAUGGAUACGAGCGAGUGGCGCAACCCUCGACGGGAAGUUACGUAAUGCAGCUUUAGCUUUAAGUGCGAAUGUCGUUAACGCAGCUGUAGGUUUCUCGAGCAGCGUUUCUUUCACAUUAAAAGUCCAAUUUGUCGUCAUAAAAUCCAAAUCCGUUUUUCGGGGGCGGAGCUGGUAAGGCUGAAGAUUCUCGAGCGAAUAUUUCCACACGUUUCGUCAUUCACUCGUUUAAACUUCUCAAAUCUAAAAGCUAAGAGUUUAACAGUAUCGCGUAAAAAUGGCACGUAAUAUCAUCAAAACCACAACAAGAGAAGCACGACAUCGACUGCUCAGUUUGCUCAAAUCUACCAAAGGUUUUUUCAACAACAAAUUUCCAGAUUUCAGACGUUUUCUGAGCUCGGAUUCUGUCUAAAGUUCAGCUCAAAACGUGACAAACGAGUUACAAAAUGAUCCAGUUCUUGUUGUUGGUUGAAUUCUGCGAAACCGACUCUGAAAUUGGCGAGUUUUUGUAGAUUUUUCAGUUCUUUUUCAGUCCGUCGAAAGCCUCCAACGAGAAUGAGUUGAAGUUGUAGUAAUGCAGCAUGAAAACAGGGUUUAAAAUAAGAUGUUCCCAUUGGUCGAUAUCAACCAAUGAGAUCACAGAUAGUUCUUUCAGAUGCGGUAAAACUAGAUCCAAUCAGAUGAACCGUUCAAACCUCGUCGUCGUGUCAGCGCUGGAAAAAAAAGAGGUCUCAUUUUAAAGAUACGGAGCCGUCCACGACAAAACGGUCAAAACGACAGAUUUAAGUCUCAGUUUGGACUUUUUCAAAACCAAAAAAUAUUAUUGUCCUGUAAAAAUAUAAAUAUAUAAAUAUAUAUAUAUAAAGUGUCCUGUUGUACAGCCAUGACUCAUGACGAACUAAAACAAAAAAACAGGACUAAACCAGAACUAAACCAGGUCUAAACCAGGACUAAACCAAACCAGGACUAAACCAGGACUAAACCGGGACUAAACCAGAACUAAACCAGGGAAUAAACCAGGUCUAAACCAGGACUAAACCAGGACUAAACCAGGACUAAACCAGGGAAUAAACCAGGACUAAACCAGGCCUAAACCAGGACUAAACCAGGGAAUAAACCAGGACUAAACCAGGACUAAACCAGGGAGUAAACCAG
ensembl:lncRNA